rnacentral:rRNA from 1 species
CAGUCGCCGCGGGAAUACGAAGGGGGCUAGCGUUGCUCGGAAUGACUGGGCGUAAAGGGCGCGUAGGCGGCAUAUACAGUCAGGCGUGAAAUUCCCGGGCUUAACCUGGGGGCUGCGUUUGAUACGUAUGGGCUAGAGUGGGGAAGAGGGUUGUGGAAUUCCCAGUGUAGAGGUGAAAUUCGUAGAUAUUGGGAAGAACACCGGUGGCGAAGGCGGCAACCUGGUCCUUGACUGACGCUGAGGCGCGAAAGCGUGGGGAGCAAACAGGAUUAGAUACCCGAGUAGUCCCUGUCUCUUAUAC